CAGUUGCCAUGGUGCAGGUGAGAGAGGUCAUGGGGCCAUGGGCAGCUCCAGGGUUGGGGUCAUUCUCUUCAGACUUCGUCAUGUUCUCUCUGCUCUUCCUCCUCCUCUCCAUCAUCCUCGCCCUCUGCACUAACUGUAGAAGGCAUUCCUUUACACUCCGGGAUGGUGGUGAGGAGGUGGACAGAACCCAGUCACAGCUGGUCAGAGUGGUGAGAGAUGGGCCAGGCAACAACAAUGAUGACCGCUAUGUCCUGUCCAGGGUUACACUUGGGGUGGGGGUAGGCGCUCAGAAGUCGGUUAGAUUGGAGGUAGGGAGAUGCGGAGGAAGCAAGGAAUGAGUAGAAGGGACAAAAGGGGGCAACGGGAGGGAUGCAAUGGAUGGAAUCCUUUUGUGAGUACUUUGUCUAGAGACCAGUGGUGAGAGAUGGGUUAUUCUGAACCCAGUAUAGCUGUGAUGUCAUUUGCUGAUGAUGAUAUUUGAUUGACAGGUGAAGCUAGAGGAUGCCCUGGCCGCCAGGGAGAAUCCAAUGAUCAAUGACAUCAGAAAAGAUGAGAGUGAUUUCAGUCCCAGACCUGAGGACAGUGUCAUUGGAGUCCCAGAGCAGCCUCCUGCUGAUCAGGAUGUCACCUGGUUGAAACCCUGGAGGAGCCACAGGGAGGCACCUGAUCAAGGUGAUUCUCCAAGUGCCUUGCAGAUUGCCAACAGAACCCCCCUGGCCAUGACGGUUAUAUCUCCUUCGCCUCCCACAACCGUCGACAUUGGUGACCUGAGUGAUGUCCUGAACUUCACACCUGAGCUCCACUUUAUCCCAGCCCCCGUUGCCAUAGUGGAAGUCGACACCCGCCUUGAAUCUUUAUUCCCACCUGUCUAUUCAGAGGACACCCUAGAUGCCACCAUCGUGAGCAGCUUUGAACCUGUUGAUGUCCCCAUAAUGAGCAGCUUUAACCCUGUUGCUGUCCCCAUCCUUGAACCUCUGGUUGUCCCCAUCGUGAGCAAUUUUGAACCUGUGGAAGCCCCCAUCGUGGAUCUCCCCAUCAUGGAUGUCACCAUUGUGAACAGCCUUGAACCUCUGCAAGCCCCAAUCGUGGAUGCACCCAUCGUGAGCAGCCUUGAACCUGUUGAACAUGCGGAUGCCACUGUCAUUAAUGACCUUGAUAUCCUGAAUGCUCCAGUUGGCUUAGAGAACCUGGAUGCCCCAGUCAUCAACAGUCUUGACACACUGGUGCUGGACGCCCUCAUUGUAAACAGCCUUGAACCUGUGGACAUCCCUGUCAUCAAUGACCUUGGAACUCCAGAUCCUCCAAUCGUAAAUAUUCUUUACACCCUGGAGCUGGAUGCUCCCAUCAUAGAUGUCACCAUCGUGGACAGCCUUGCACCUAUGGAAUUCCCCACCAUGAAUGACAUUGACCUCCUGAAGGCCCCUGCGGAGUUCAGCUCCAGCUUUAACCCUCAGCUUGAAGUAGAGGUUAAUGUGGAGGGUGAGGGCCAGAACCAGGGGCUUUCUCUCUAUGUCGGACCCCAGCAUACCUAUGAGAUCAUUGGGGAGCCCAAUCCUAAUGAACACUCUGUGGAAGUGGACCUGGCAACAGCAAGCUCUCAAACCAUAGCUGAACUGGUCAAUAAAUCCACCACACAUUCUGACAAUGACACAACCACAGUCACUGAGCCAGCGGACCUGGCAGGCCCCGGCUACGAGACUAUAGCUGAACUGGUCCAGGAUUUGAGUGCAACCACACUGCCUGAUGAUGACCCUAUCACAACCACAGUCACAGAGCCAGGGGAUCUGAUAACCCCUGAGUAUGAAACCAUAGCUGAACUGGUCCAUAAAUUGAGUGCAACCACACUGCCUGACGAUGAGCCAAUAACAACCACAGUCACAGAGCCAGAAGGGCUUGACCUUACAAGCCCUCUCUCAUUGGUAGAGGAGGGUUUCUGUGACAGGGGGUGGAAUCCAAUGUACGCUAGAGUGAGAAGGAAGCUUAGUAAAAGUACCACCCCACCCCCUGUGCUUCCAUCGGAGAAUGAGGAACCGGAGGGAUUUUCACCUCCAUUACCAGAGAGAAGUGGAGAGAUGGAGGGAUGA
rnacentral:lncRNA from 13 species